AUGUAGCAGUGUUUCUAUGGGUUGAAGGAAAAUGGGCUUCUCACUCCAAGUCUUAUUUGAAUUUUCAUUUCAUUUGAUUAAGCAGGUAUCAUUUCUGUCCUGACAAGAGGAGGCUCCACCUGCCGACUGCCCACCAACGCAUCCAGCUGUCUGCUUUGCAGAACAGGCAAGGAGAUCUGGAAGCCAUCAGGGGCUGGUGGUGCCCAGGACCUGUGUGGAACCACAUCCUACCCAGUGCUGAGGACAGUUGGUAGAGCUGGAAGUUUUCUCAUGUAAGUAAACACCAGCAGCCAGUCUCUUAAAAGACCUUUCAAAUAUGGCAAAGGAAAACUCUAAUUUUCAGUGUA
rnacentral:lncRNA from 1 species